CCAAUAGCGUAUAUUAAAGUUGUUGCAGUUAAAAAGCUCGUAGUUGAAUUUCGGGAUCAAUAUGUCGGUCGUGCUUCGGUACGUACUGGCGUUAUUGGUUUCUCCCUUCUGAAGAACCGCGAUGUCAUUAAUUUGGUGUCGUGGGGAAUCAGGACUGUUACUUUGAAAAAAUUAGAGUGUUUAAAGCAGGCUCGCGCUUGAAUACAUUAGCAUGGAAUAAUGAAAUAGGACGUUUGAUUCUAUUUUGUUGGUUUCUAGGAUCGACGUAAUGAUUAAUAGGGAUAGUUGGGGGCAUUAGUAUUCAAUUGUCAGAGGUGAAAUUCUUUGAUUUAUUGAAGACUAACUACUGCGAAAGCAUUUGCCAAGGAUGUUUUCAUUAAUCAAGAACGAAAGUUAGGGGAUCGAAGACGAUCAGAUACCGUCGUAGUCUUAACCAUAAACUAUGCCGACUAGGGAUCGGAUGAUGUUGAUUUUUUAAUGACUCAUUCGGCGCCUUACG
rnacentral:rRNA from 1 species